UAACACAUGCAAGUCGAGGGGCAGCACGGAUUGCUUGCAAUUCGGUGGCGACCGGCGCACGGGUGCGGAACGCGUAUGGAACCUACCUUUGUCAGGGGAAUAGCCCAGAGAAAUUUGGAUUAAUGCCCCAUGGUAACUAUUAAUAUAGCAUUAUAUAAAUAGUAAAGGUUACGGUAUAAGAUGAGUAUGCGUCCUAUUAGUUAGUUGGUAAGGUAACGGCUUACCAAGACAACGAUAGGUAGGGGCCCUGAGAGGGGGAUCCCCCACACUGGUACUGAGACACGGACCAGACUCCUACGGGAGGCAGCAUUGAGGAAUAUUGGACAAUUGGAGGCAGCUCUGAUCCAGCCAUGCCGCGUGCAGGAAGACUGCCCUAUGGGUUGUAAACUGCUUUUAUAUAGGAAGAAACAUCGCGACGUGUCGGGAUUUGACGGUACUAUAAGAAUAAGGACCGGCUAACUCCGUGCCAGCAGCCGCGGAAUACGGAGGGUCCGAGCGUUAUCCGGAAUCAUUGGGUUUAAAGGGUCCGUAGGCGGGCUAUUAAGUCAGAGGUGAAAUUGUGCAGCUCAACUGUAGAACUGCCUUUGAUACUGAUAGUCUUGAGUUAUGGUGAGGUAGCCGGAACAUGUGGUGUAGCGGUGAAAUGCAUAGAUAUCACAUAGAACGCCGAUUGCGAAGGCAGGUUACCAACCAUAUACUGACGCUGAUGGACGAAAGCGUGGGGAGCGAACGGGAUUAGAUACCCCGGUAGUCCACGCCGUAAACGAUGGAUACUAGCUGUUCGGACUUCGGUCUGAGAGGCUAAGCGAAAGUGAUAAGUAUCCCACCUGGGGAGUACGUUCGCAAGAAUGAAACUCAAAGGAAUUGACGGGGGCCCGCACAAGCGGUGGAGCAUGUGGUUUAAUUCGAUGAUACGCGAGGAACCUUACCAGGGCUUAAAUGUAGAUUGACAGGUUUAGAGAUAGACUUUUCUUCGGACAAUUUACAAGGUGCUGCAUGGUUGUCGUCAGCUCGUGCCGUGAGGUGUCAGGUUAAGUCCUAUAACGAGCGCAACCCCUAUUGUUAGUUGCCAGCGAGUCAUGUCGGGGACUCUAACGGGACUGCCGGUGCAAACCGUGAGGAAGGUGGGGAUGACGUCAAAUCAUCACGGCCCUUACGUCCUGGGCCACACACGUGCUACAAUGGCCGGUACAGAGAGCAGCCACUUGGCAACAAGGAGCGAAUCUACAAAACCGGUCACAGUUCGGAUCGGGGUCUGCAACUCGACCCCGUGAAGCUGGAAUCGCUAGUAAUCGGAUAUCAGCCAUGAUCCGGUGAAUACGUUCCCGGGCCUUGUACACACCGCCCGUCAAGCCAUGGAAGCUGGGAGUAUCUGAAGUCGGUCACCGCAAGGA
rnacentral:rRNA from 1 species